UUACGGCUCAGUAACACGUGGAUAAUCUGCCCUAAGGUCAGGUAUAACUCCGGGAAACUGGUGAUAAUCCCUGAUAUAUCAUAGAAACUGGAAUGUUCUGUGAUUAAAAGCUCCGGCGCCUUAGGAUGAAUCUGCGGUCUAUCAGGUUGUAGUGGGUGUAGAGUACCUACUAGCCUACGACGGAUACGGGUUGUGAGAGCAAGAGCCCGGAGAUGGAUUCUGAGACAUGAAUCCAGGCCCUACGGGGCGCAGCAGGCGCGAAAACUUUACAAUGCGGGAAACCGCGAUAAGGGGAUACUGAGUGCCAGCAUAUUAUGUUGGCUGUCCACCUGUAUAAACAGCAGGUGUUAGCAAGGGCCGGGCAAGACCGGUGCCAGCCGCCGCGGUAACACCGGCGGCCCGAGUGGUGGCCACUAUUAUUGGGUCUAAAGGGUCCGUAGCCGGUUUGAUCAGUCUUCCGGGAAAUCUGACAGCUCAACUGUUAGGCUUCUGGGGGAUACUGUCAGACUUGGGACCGGGAGAGGUAAGAGGUACUACAGGGGUAGGAGUGAAAUCUUGUAAUCCUUGUGGGACCACCAGUGGCGAAGGCGUCUUACCAGAACGGGUCCGACGGUGAGGGACGAAAGCUGGGGGCACGAACCGGAUUAGAUACCCGGGUAGUCCCAGCCGUAAACGAUGCUCGCUAGGUGUCUGGGACGGUGCGACCGUUUCAGGUGCCGCAGGGAAGCCGUGAAGCGAGCCACCUGGGAAGUACGGCCGCAAGGUUGAAACUUAAAGG
rnacentral:rRNA from 1 species